rnacentral:tRNA from 1 species
ACUUUUGUGGUGUAAUUGGAAGCACGUCCCACUGGCAAUCGGAAGGUCCGGAAUUCGUAUCCUGGCAAGGGUA